rnacentral:lncRNA from 1 species
GUCAACAUAUCUGUAGAGUGUCGGGACGAGUUGGAGUCAUUUUAGCACGAAAUGGAUAUGAAAAUGGACUCGGCGCACUCAAAUAAGCCAAAACUGAAGUUCUGGCAGUUUAGGGUGCCCAGAAAUAGCUUAGGGUGCCCAUAUCCUGAGUGUUGUUUUGUAUUAAAUGCUGAAGUCAUUUCGGACGCUAUUUGGGCCCGAAAGUUCACUUCGUGAAUAUCGAUCUUUUUGACACGUGGGUGUGGUAGGUGAGAUCCGCCGGAACCGGAUAGAGGUGUAGCAGACCGUUGGACAGAGCAACCGAGGUGAUAUUUGUGCAGGCUGGAAGUUCUGGGCGCCCGGUUUUGGGUUCUGGGCGCCCAAAUCUUGGAUUUUCUGCUGCAGUAUAGAUUAGCAAUGUUUGUUCUUGGGGCUC